rnacentral:lncRNA from 1 species
CAAAGAACGUUAACACGAAGACGUACUCAAAAACUGGUUCACAACUUAGUAGGUUGUUACUUAGUUGCCAACUAGUGUAGAAGUCUAUAGAAAAAAAACUAGUAGAGACAAGGAAAGAAACUUGGAAGGUCCUAUGACUUGAGUUUGUUGUUGAUGUGGCCUAUAAUUUUUAUUUUGGUCGUUUGGUGUUGUUGUUUUUGUUUAAGUUUGAUGUUGUCCCCCUU